AUUGAACGCUGGCGGCAGGCCUAACACAUGCAAGUCGAACGCGUGGCGGACGGGUGAGUAAUGUCUGGGAAACUGCCCGAUGGAGGGGGAUACCUACUGGAAACGGUAGCUAAUACCGCAUACCAUCGGAUGUGCCCAGGUGGGAUUAGCUAGUAGGUGGGGUAAAGGCCUACCAAGGCGACGAUCCGUAACUGGUCUGAGAGGAUGAUCAGUCACACUGGAACUGAGACACGGGCCAGACUCCUACGGGAGGCAGCAGUGGGGAAUAUUGGACAAUGGGCGAAAGCCUGAUCCAGCCAUGCCGCGUGUGUGAAGAAGGGCUUCGGAUUGUAAAGCACUUUAAGUUGGGAGGCGUUACCAACAGAAUAAGCACCGGCUAACUUCGUGCCAGCAGCCGCGGUAAUAC
rnacentral:rRNA from 1 species